UAAAAAUUUUAUUUUAGUUUAAAAAUUAGAUGUUAUUUUCUAUUAUAUGUAAAUUUUUAUUUAAGAAUAGUUUGCAGUAAUUAAAGUUAAAUAUUCAAGAAAUUGAGAUUUAUGAAUAAUAAUUAAUAUAAACUAAAUUUGUGCCAGCAGUUGCGGUUAUACAAAUUAUAUAAUUUAAUUUUUAUUAAUUAUAAUUAAUUGUAAUUUUAAAUUUUAAUUUUAAAUUUAUUAAGUGAAAUUUUAAAUUUAUAAAAAAUUUAUUAUAUUAAAUGUUUUAAGAAAUUUUAAUAAUAAACUAGGAUUAGAUACCCUAUUAUUUAAAAUGUUAUUUUAAAAAUUUAAUUAGUAUUAGUUAUGUUCUUUAAAAUUAAAAAAUUUGGCGGUAUUUUAGUCUAUUUAGAGGAACCUGUUUUAUAAAUGAUAAUCCACGAUUUAACUUACUUAUUUUAUUAGUUUAUAUAUCGUUGUAAUUAAAUAUUUUUUUAGAAUUUAAAUAUUUAAGAGUUUUAAUUAAAAAAUAAAUCAGAUCAAGAUGUAAUUUAUAAAUAAGUAAAAAUGGGUUACAAUAAAUUUAUUUUAGGAUAAUAAUUUUUAAAGUUAUUUGAAUUUGGAUUUAAAAGUAAUUUAAAUUAAUUAAUUUAAAUGAUUUAAGCUCUAAAAUAUGUACAUAUUGCCCGUCGCUUUCAUUUAAAAUGGAAUAAGUCGUAACAAAGUAGAUUUACUGGAAGGUGAAUCUAGAUUCAA
rnacentral:ncRNA from 1 species